UACGUAGGUGGCAAGCGUUGUCCGGAUUUACUGGGCGUAAAGAGCGCGCAGGCGGUCGAUCAAGUCGCGUGUGAAAGCCCCCCGGCUCAACUGGGGAGGGUCACGCGAUACUGAUCGACUCGAAGGCAGGAGAGGGUAGUGGAAUUCCCGGUGUAGUGGUGAAAUGCGUAGAUAUCGGGAGGAACACCAGUGGCGAAGGCGACUACCCUGGCCUGUUUCUUGACGCUGGAGGCG
rnacentral:rRNA from 1 species